rnacentral:tRNA from 2 species
GGAGAGGUGGCAGAGUGGUCGAAUGCGCCGGAUUCGAAAUCCGGUGUACGGUUUUACCGUACCGUGGGUUCGAAUCCCACCCUCUCCGCCA